GUUGCCUACGGGACGCAGCAGUGAGGAAUAUUGGUCAAUGGCCGGAAGGCUGAACCAGCCAAGCCGCGUGAAGGACGAAGGUGCCAAGCAUUGUAAACUUCUUUUGUCAAGGGACAAAAUCAGGCUCGAGAGCCUGACCGAGGGUACUUGAAGAAAAAGCAUCGGCUAACUCCGUGCCAGCAGCCGCGGUAAUACGGAGGAUGCGAGCGUUAUCCGGAUUUAUUGGGUUUAAAGGGUGCGUAGGCGGGCUGUUAAGUCAGCGGUAAAAGCCCGGGGCUCAACCACGGCGAGCCGGUGAAACUGGG
rnacentral:rRNA from 1 species